UUUGAGAGGAAUGUUGGCUGGCUCGAUGCGACAGCUUUGAGAUUGUAAAGUGUAAUCAAAGUAAAAGGUAUCAUCGGACCAGGCUUCAUUCCCCUCAAA
rfam:Gossypium hirsutum cultivar TM-1 unplaced genomic scaffold scaffold2309.1, whole genome shotgun sequence